rnacentral:misc_RNA from 1 species
AAGCGAAGAAACACACAAGCACUAGGCCACUGCCCAUAAAACCAUCUGAAAAAUGAAAUAAGAGCAGGGGAAAUGUUACUGGAAAUGUGCCAUCAGUCAGGUGCAUUUUAGACCCACUUUUUAAUCACUACAAUUCAAUCAAAAUCCAAAAUCUUAUACAGCAAGAGCAACAACAUUUCCUCCAACCUCAGCGGGGGAGAAAGCCAAGAACAUGAGAGCAGCCAUAAUCCCAACUGGAAAGAACAGAAGCAGCAAAGGUGGAGGAGGCAACGGGGGCAAAAGCAAUGGCAACACCAACAUUGACGCCGCAAGAACCACCAGCAAUACAACACUCACCAAGCCGAAACA